AGUCGGUGAGGUAACCUUUAUGGAGCCAGCCGCCUAAGGUGGGACAGAUGAUUGGGGUGAAGUCGUAACAAGGUAGCCGUAUCGGAAGGUGCGGCUGGAUCACCUCCUUUCUAAGGA
rnacentral:rRNA from 1 species